UCAAAUGGGCGGGUUGGGCGGGUUUGGGUGUGUCCGAAUGGGCUUCAAUUUUUUGCUGGACAUUUUUGGUCGAAGCCCAAAUAGAACCAUGUCCAAAUGAGACCAUAACCAAAUAGGACCAUGAUUUGUUGAGUUAUCUAUGGACGGCCCAUGUGUCCAAUUAGGGGGCGACUGAUUUUCCCGCUACCACCCGCAAACGCAGCUUUUGUGAUUGGUAGCGGUUGUCGGCGAUUUGCAACAAUCACUCAAAUCGCUCUAAACCGCUUCAAACCGC
rnacentral:lncRNA from 1 species